rnacentral:rRNA from 1 species
UACGUAGGGGGCAAGCGUUGUCCGGAAUCAUUGGGCGUAAAGCGCGUGUAGGCGGCUCGGUAAGUCUGCUGUGAAAGUCCAGGGCUCAACCCUGGGAUGCCGGUGGAUACUGUCGAGCUCGAGUCCGGAAGAGGCGACUGGAAUUCCUGGUGUAGCGGUGAAAUGCGUAGAUAUCUGGAGGAACACCGGUGGCGAAGGCGGCAUCCUGGACCGGUAUUGACGCUGAGGAGCGAAAGCCAGGGGAGCAAACGGG